rnacentral:rRNA from 1 species
AUGCAAGUCGAACGGUAACAGGAAGCAGCUUGCUGCUUUGCUGACGAGUGGCGGACGGGUGAGUAAUGUCUGGGGAUCUGCCUGAUGGAGGGGGAUAACUACUGGAAACGGUAGCUAUUACCGCAUAACGUCGCAAGACCAAAGAGGGGGACCUUCGGGCCUCUUGCCUUCAGAUGAACCCAGAUGGGAUUAGCUAGUAGGUAGGGUAACGGCCCACCUAGGCGACGAUCCCUAGCUGGUCUGAGAGGAUGACCAGCCACACUGGAACUGAGACACGGUCCAGACUCCUACGGGAGGCAGCAGUGGGGAAUAUUGCACAAUGGGCGCAAGCCUGAUGCAGCCAUGCCGCGUGUAUGAAGAAGGCCUUCGGGUUGUAAAGUACUUUCAGCGAGGAGGAAGGUGGUGAGCUUAAUAUGCUCAUCAAUUGACGUUACUCGCAGAAGAAGCACCGGCUAACUCCGUGCCAGCAGCCGCGGUAAUACGGAGGGUGCAAGCGUUAAUCGGAAUUACUGGGCGUAAAGCGCACGCAGGCGGUCUGUCAAGUCGGAUGUGAAAUCCCCGGGCUCAACCUGGGAACUGCAUCCGAAACUGGCAGGCUUGAGUC